AAACUCAAAGGAAUUGACGGGGAGCACCACGACGGGUGGAGCUUGCGGUUUAAUUGGAUUCAACGCCGGAAAUCUUACCGGGACCGACAGCAAUAUGAAGGCCAGGCUGAAGACUUUGCCGGAUUAGCUGAGAGGUGGUGCAUGGCCGUCGUCAGUUCGUACUGUGAAGCAUCCUGUUAAGUCAGGCAACGAGCGAGACCCACGCCCACAGUUGCCAGCGUACUCUCUGGAGUGACGGGUACACUGUGGGGACCGCCGCUGCUAAAGCGGAGGAAGGAAUGGGCAACGGUAGGUCAGUAUGCCCCGAAUAUCCCGGGCUACACGCGAGCUACAAUGGUUGGUACAAUGGGUAUCUACCCCGAAAGGGGACGGGAAAUCUCCUAAAACCAAUCUUAGUUCGGAUUGAGGGCUGCAACUCGCCCUCAUGAAGCUGGAAUCCGUAGUAAUCGCGUUUCAACAGAACGCGGUGAAUACGUCCCUGCUCCUU
rnacentral:rRNA from 1 species